AACGCACAUUGCGCCCGCUGGUAUUCCGGCGGGCAUGCCCGUUCGAGCGUCAUUUUAAUUCCUUCCCAGAAGGGAGCUUCUGUUUCCACAGAGGUUUCCUCCAGGGGCGUUGGCACCUGUCGCCGCCUAGGCGACCGGAGCCCAAAUGCAGUGGCGGACGCGCAAGCGGUCCCUAGCGCAGUAAUAAAAACUUCGCUCAGGAGGCUCGCAGCAGUGGACCACAGCCUAACGCAAAAAGCUUUUUUUGCAACCAAAAACUUGACCUCGGAUCGGGUAGGACUACCCGCUGAACUUAA
rnacentral:misc_RNA from 1 species